rnacentral:rRNA from 1 species
UGGGUAACCUGCCUCAAAGAGGGGAAUAGCCUCCCGAAAGGGAGAUUAAUACCGCAUAAUAUGUUUUAAUCGCAUGAUUUUAACAUCAAAGGAUUUUCUUUAGGAAAUUCCACUUUGAGAUGGACCCGCGGCGCAUUAGCUAGUUGGUGAGGUAACGGCUCACCAAGGCAACGAUGCGUAGCCGACCUGAGAGGGUGAUCGGCCACAUUGGAACUGAGACACGGUCCAGACUCCGUAGGAGG